GGCUUUGAAUGGCGGGCUAAUUGCGGAACUGAAUCAGCGGGACCCGCUUCUUCUGCCUUAAUCUCGUAAAUUUAAGCCGGGCUCCGAGCUCAAGGCAGCGGGAUGCAGGGGCGGUGGGAAUUGUUUGAAUCUCGCUUGGCACCGAGUUCGCUGCUCCCAGCUACACCAGUGUUACGCUGUUUCUCAGUGGCAGCUCGCCUCCUCCAUUUUAAUCAGUAACGCAGCAAAAACGAAACCCGGUGAGGAUUAUGCUGGCAGAUCCAAACAACUGCUUUUAAAAGAAUCGAUGGUUUCCCAACUACCUAAAAAUCUUGGAUGAGAAGACAUGGAAACAGGGGUUUGCACUGUGCCAUGGUUCAAAGGAAAUACUCCCGUAUAGACUCCGAAUAGCUCUGUUUUUUAAAGACACCUGGAAGGGGGUCAGUGGCGAGACAGCGCAUCAUUGAAAGGAAGGAAGGAAGGAAGGAAGGAGGAACCCCGAAAACGUUUUUGACCAAGAGACCCUUUCCCAGAAGCACAUCCCGGUGUCCCGAAGGAGGGAUCAGCGCAACUCUGCUGUAACUCCCCUCCCCACCUCCAAAGACGGGCGAGGAGGGGAAAGCCACAAACUCUCAAAGGAGCACAACUGGGGGAGUGAACCCGAUUGGCUUGGGAGAUAACUGCAGUAAUAACGAGUCAGCCCAGCUCCCAGUGCACACAGGAUCCGGCUUCCCACCGCAACCAAGUGCAAUUGUAACAAUGGAGACGAGUUAACGCACACUUAGCGUUUCUAGCGCCGAACGUUUUGCACAAAUGAGCCCCUGUCCCUCUGUCCCCAGAGUCAGAUUUUAUGAAGUCAAUAAAUAUCUCAGGAGAAGACCCCUUCACCCAAUUCCUAGUCCGUAAUGCCGGGAGGCCUGGUCUGCUUCGAUUUACUCAUUCACUGAUGCGGCAGACAGCUGCAAUUGUUGUGGGAAAGCAACAAUUCCCAUUGAUUGGGCUUUGGUUAGAAUUUAACCAGAGUCCUCAGGUUGUCCCCUCCUCACGUGAAACAGUGGCUUGGACCCUGGGCAAUUUGGUGUUCCAUCGCCCUAAACUGGUGUGUGAGGGACAUAAUCCUAUAUCGCCUCAAAGCAGCUAAUCUCUUGAUGCAAUUGGAGGAGCAGCAUCCUAUUAUGAAACUAAUUAGAUCUGGUGAUUUCGGUCCCGGACAGAGAGAGGGGGGAUCAUCUUCAGGAGUCACUAUACACUUUAAAACUAUUUUUCAUUAGGGUCACGGUUCCAACCUCCUGUAUUGCAAAUAUUAUUCCCUCUAGCAAAACUAAAUAAAUAAUUAUAGUG